GGUCCCAUAGCUCAGUUGGUUAGAGCGUCGUACUAAUAUUGUGAUUACCUUGUAAUGUUGGUCAUGCGAAGGCCGUGAGUUCAAGCCUCACUGGGACCA
rnacentral:tRNA from 1 species